GAGUUUUGAUCGUGGCUCAGAUUGAACGCUGGCGGCAUGCCUUACACAUGCAAGUCGAACGGCAGCAUGAUCUAGCUUGCUAGAUUGAUGGCGAGUGGCGAACGGGUGAGUAAUACAUCGGAACAUGCCCUGUAGUGGGGGAUAACUAGUCGAAAGAUUAGCUAAUACCGCAUACGACCUGAGGGUGAAAGUGGGGGACCGCAAGGCCUCAUGCUAUAGGAGCGGCCGAUGUCUGAUUAGCUAGUUGGUGGGGUAAAGGCCCACCAAGGCGACGAUCAGUAGCUGGUCUGAGAGGACGAUCAGCCACACUGGGACUGAGACACGGCCCAGACUCCUACGGGAGGCAGCAGUGGGGAAUUUUGGACAAUGGGCGAAAGCCUGAUCCAGCCAUGCCGCGUGUGUGAAGAAGGUCUUCGGAUUGUAAAGCACUUUAAGUUGGGAGGAAGGGCAGUAAGUUAAUACCUUGCUGUUUUGACGUUACCAACAGAAUAAGCACCGGCUUAACCG
rnacentral:rRNA from 1 species